GCAUGAAAGUGGCGGAUGGGUGAGUAACGCGUAAGAAACCUGCCUUUCACACCGGGAUAGCAGCUGGAAACGGCUAUUAAUACCGGAUGAUACUUUUCUGACGCAUGUUAGGAAGGUCAAAGAAUUUCGGUGAAAGAUGGUCUUGCGUCUGAUUAGCUCGUUGGUGGGGUAACGGCCUACCAAGGCGACGAUCAGUAGCCGGCCUGAGAGGGUGUACGGCCACAUUGGAACUGAGACACGGUCCAAACUCC
rnacentral:rRNA from 1 species